GAUUUUUUUUUUUUCAUGAACCUCAGCGUACAGCGUCGGCACAUCAGGGCUGUAACGUCACUUUCAUCUUUAUACACAAUUGCAAGCUGUCAUCUGGAAGAAGGGUCGCCACAGCGCGUCAUCCUUUUCCAUGGAAGCCUCCCAUCUCCUGCAUCCUCCUCUCCAACACCGACUGCCCUCACGUCUUCCCUCACGACGUCCAUCCACCUUCUCUUUGGUCUUCCUCUCGCUCUCUUGCCUGGCAGCUCCAUCCUCAUCAUCCUUCUACCAAUAUACUCACUACUUCUCCUCUGGGCGUGUCCAAACCAUCCAAGUCUGCUCUCUCUAACUUUGUCUCCAAAACAUCGAACCUUGGCUGACCCUCUGAUGAGCUCAUUUUUAAUUUCAUCCAACCUGGUCGCUCCGAGAGCGAAACCUCAAUAUCUUCCUUUGCUCUGCUUCCUGUCGUCUCUUCAGUGCCACGGUCUCUAAUCCGCACAUCAUGGCUGGCCUCACCGCUCUUUUAUAAACUUUGCCCUUCAUCCGAGCAGACUCUUCUGUCACAUAACACACCUGACACCUUCCUCCACCCGUUCCAACCUGCUUGCUAUCUAGCACACUACUGGCACCAGUCAACACAUUUCCAUCUCUAUCCUUAAUCACCCUAACCUGCUGCACAUCCUUCCCAUCUCUAUCCCUCUGUCUGGCCAGCAUUUAUAGAUCCUUUUCUCCUUCUUUAGUGUCCAACCUGGCAUACAUGUCCUCAUAUGCCUCUUGUUUGGCCUUUGCCCUGUGUCGCAUCGCAAUGUAUUCCUUUCAGCUCUCCUCGGUCCUCUCAGUGUCCCACUUCUUCUUAGCUAACCUUUUUCCUUGUAUGAUUUCCUGUACUGUGAGGUUCCACCACCAAGUCUCCUUCUCUCCUUUCCUGCCAGAAGAUACACCAAGUACUCUCCUGCCUGCAUCUCUGAUCACCUUGGCUGCAGUGGUCCUGGAAGCUCCUCUCGUCCACCGAGAGCCUGUCUCACUUCUUCCCGAAAAGCUGCACAACACUCGUCCUGUCUCAGCUUCCACCACACGGAAUGGAGAAAAAAUGCUUUGAACAAGCAUCCACAUCGAAGCUGGAUCCAGAACCUCAUGGUCUUAACAUGCUGGAAGAUAGGAAGACCAAACUAGAGGCCACGUUUCCACCAACAAGUACACUUUGGUUGCGUUUCCAAUGACAAAGUUCGCAAAACGUUCUAAAUGACUCCAUCGUGAUGUGACAAUUAGGAAGCAACCUGAAGAUCGCGCUUUUGCUGGACACAAACAACAACAACUAGUUGUCUUGAGUGUUUGGUCUAACGUGCCUCAGUCACUCACCACAAUAGAAAUGACAGUAACUCUAUUUCUCAGUUUUCUAUCGCAGUGUUAUUAGCCUACCCGGUAAGCAAACAGCUAGCUUCUUUCUUACAAAAUACAAAGACGGCUACUCGUCUUUGUAUUUUCCAUCAGUCUGGGUUCCCGUGAAGCCACUCACAGAUCAGUCUUGGUACUAUGACAGCGUGGUCGGGACCACUUCAGAAUGUUUGUAAACAAUAGGCACCGGGAUACUUCGUGGUGGUGACUGAACGAUACAAUCCAAAAGAGAGUCAAAUCAAAAAGUAGCCUUGACACUGCUAACCGCCGUGUGCCAACUGUAAAAACAAGUAAAGAGGAUUUUUUUUCUAGGAAAUACUGUACAAGACAUAGACCCCUCCAUAUACAGCUUGCCAGGCUUAAAUCCACUGCAUUAUUUUCCACUAUCGAUACAAUCGAUUGAUGACCUUGGAAAACUAUUCAAAUGGAUAUAUUUACAUCUGGCUAACUGGCCAAGCACAGAUCGUUCCAGUUGGAUCAUAGGAAUAUAAAUCGAUACGCCGAUAUAUUCAAUGAAUUGUUACACCACUAAUAUAUAUGUAUAUGUUUUAUCUCCUUUAAAGAAAGUGGAUAUUGUAAUAGUUGUACAGAGAACUUCUGAAGGGACAAACUCGCAAGCAAACUUCCCUUUUCGGGUUUGAGGAAGACAUUUUCUCACAGGUAUGUACUGUAUCACAUGUUUGGUUAUGUUUUCUUUGAGGAAUUUAUUGAAACAUAAUCGCUCGCCUGCUAAUAGGCUAUAGCAGGCGAUCCAUUUCAGCAUCAAAAGAGGACAUCUGUGCCAUUAAUCCAACCAACAGAAAAGUCAACAAAUUACUUUGUCUGAAUUUUCAAUGAUGGCCAGCAUUCAGUCUUAAAUCCAUUUUUAACAUCAUCCUUUUGACUGAAACGUCACCCAUUCGAACACGGAGCUAUUCCAGGCAGCUCGGUGGAAACAUGAGCCAGGGUAUAUCGUUUGUGGAUUUAAUGUACAUCCUAAAUGCAUUUUGAAAUAGGUUGAAGAGGAAGGAUUUAACAAAUUCUAUGAGAAAAAGAGGUCAGCUACAUUUCAAGGAGGAGAGAACGCCCCCCGCCCCUCGCUUUCCUUCAGUAGCUGUGGCCUUGUCACAUAUGGUUAUGCUUAUUGGAUAUAUGGGCGACGGGGGUGCAGGAGUCACUGCACCAGCAUGCCUCCGAACAUCACCACCACUGGGCUACAAUAAGAAUACUGCACUGAAUCAUAUUUUCACAGUUCACUUCUGUGCAUGGGUGAUGCGCGGUGAAUGAAUGGAAGAUGAGCGCAGGGAAGCGGAUGGGCUGCACACAGCUACAUCUCUCUUUGUGAUGUGGGACUUGUGUUUCUUGCGCUAACUCUGCUUGAGAAUCACGCUCUGGUGGAAAGUCGCGGACAAACUAAAUGUUAAUAUCAUGGAUUUAAUGUUGAAAUGGACAUUAUGCAGUUGAAAAGAUUUGUUUUUUUUUUGCGUCUCAGUAACGAUGCAUG